AGUGAACGCUGGCGGUAGGCCUAACACAUGCAAGCCGAACGGCAGCACAGUAAGAGCUUGCUCUUACGGGUGGCGAGUGGCGGACGGGUGAGGAAUACAUCGGAAUCUACUUUUUCGCGGGGGAUAACGUAGGGAAACUUACGCUAAUACCGCAUACGACCUACGGGUGAAAGCAGGGGAUCUUCGGACCUUGCGCGAUUGAAUGAGCCGAUGUCGGAUUAGCUAGUUGGCGGGGUAAAGGCCCACCAAGGCGACGAUCCGUAGCUGGUCUGAGAGGAUGAUCAGCCACACUGGAACUGAGACACGGUCCAGACUCCUACGGGAGGCAGCAGUGGGGAAUAUUGGACAAUGGGCGCAAGCCUGAUCCAGCCAUACCGCGUGGGUGAAGAAGGCCUUCGGGUUGUAAAGCCCUUUUGUUGGGAAAGAAAAGCAGCAGGUUAAUACCCCGCUGUUCUGACGGUACCCAAAGAAUAAGCACCGGCUAACUUCGUG
rnacentral:rRNA from 1 species